ACGGUUAAAACGCUUAAUUCCAUUUGGAAGCGGGGGACCCACUUUCUUUUGGGGUGAAUCUACUUUUCAAGCUUACUGAUAUAGGAUUGGAAAUGGUAGGGUUACUCUUUCAACCCGAACCCGACAGCUAACUUCGUAGGCGUUGGAAGAGGAAGA
rnacentral:sRNA from 2 species